GCGAUAUCCGCCCAAGGUGAAUAUGGCGGGUCAUGACAUCCACUCCUCCCCCUCUCGGUCCCGGGCUCCCGGCAAGCUGUGCUCCACCGCGCCGCGCAGCUCUUGGUGGUGUCCCCGUCGCCGCGCCGGCACCGCGCGAGGCCGGCGGCGGCGGCCUAGGUUUAGCCCAUCGCGGCUUGCGGGGCGCGGGUUGACUCGGGACCGUCGGGCCUCGAUUCGUGCUGCCGAGAUUUGUUCGUGCGCCCGGUUUUCCAUCGCUUGAUUUGGCGGUUGUGAAAGCGUCGGAGGAGGGGAGCAGAAGUUAAUUCUCUCGAGGGCCGAGGCCACGGGCUUCUCGCCCCUCGCGCGCAGCACACAGCACGCAGGCGCCGUCGCCUGCUUCAAGUAGUUGCAAAUCCUCCGAGUUUCCGGCUCCUCAUGGCUUCAGGUAUUCCUCCGCGUGAAUUUGUGGGAUUCAUUGGAGAUAUUCUCCUUUUCUCUACCUACUUGUGUGAUUUUUCUUCGAGGGAACUACGGUAGGCUUUUAUUCAGCCGACCCGAACAUUUUAUUGCCAAUCAGAGGAUUAUAGAAAUAAUGAAAUCGCCUGACUCAAGUGCAUAAUGUCAAUGGAAGGCAUGUUGCCUAGGACAUUAGUUUGACAAGGUGUAAUUAUACUUAAUUAGGGGUACUUAGUACUUUUAAUGCUGUUUCUUAUGGAGUUAAAUUGUUAUUUGACCUCUUCAUUUAGGAUUGUUGUAUCAGGGGCUGGCAAAGAUUUAUGCUGUGGGGUAUCCAGUAUAAAGGAGAUGGGUAUUCUCGAUUUAUUUUUUCUUGUUAUCAGAGUCAGAUCGAAAUUCAAUUCUUCACUGCUUGUCAUUCAAUUAUGGCUUAGGAAUGUUUUGCAUCAAGAUUCAUAGAAGUAUUGAACUGGUUGUCUGCCCUUUUUUUUUUAAUUCUAACUGAGCAUUAGCUUCUUUAGCGCUAUGGGGGAUUAACCAGUUUUGUAUCUUUUGGUGUCUAAUUCCCUAACAGAAUUAUAUGAAAUAAGAGUUCAGCUUGUACCACCGUUCAGAAGUUUAAGCAGUAAACCUGAUCUGGCACUCAUUCAUCAUUGCUUACCUGAUGAACUACUUUUCGAGAUGAUCAUUAUACAGACUGGAGCAUUUAUUUUUAUCUUCGUAACACAGGAAUUGAAAACACUGCACUAAAUUCUUCUCCAAUUAUGUCCAUUCCAUGUGUAUUUCCUGCUAAGUAUAUAUCAUGGAAUAAUCAUGAAAGGAGCUAAUAUACCUGAUUGAUCCAUAAUGUAUUUCCUGCUAAGUAGAUAAGUAUAUCCAUAUACCUCAUGUUAUCAUGGUAUUAACAUGAAAAGAAGCUGUCAUCAUUGACAUCAAUAAUCGAUGCAAUACUGCUUUCCUUAACUGUUAUAUGGCUAUUCUUUUUCAACAGAUUUUCACGAUAAUGAGCCCCUAUACUUUAGGGAGGGCCUCAUGUGUCUGCCGCAAGUGGAAGUAUACUGCACAUAAUCCUACUCUGUGGCGUACUGCAUGCCUGAAAACUUGGCAGAGGAGUGGAAUGGAGGCAAACUACAGGAUGGUUUAGUCAUUGUACGAUUCUUCUUGGAGGAGAACGUGGCUGCAGAGACCUAGAAUCCGAUGUGAUGGUUUCUAUGUGAGUAGGAACACAUAUAUGUGACUUUGAUAGUUGACUUCAUGACAUAGGGGAGAAGCCAGGCGACGCAACCAUCGGGGUCAGCUCCAUUAGACAACGGGGUUCAUAUGACACUAAAUUAUGAGACAAGACAUUAUUAGCAUAUAUGACAAUAUUGUUGCAUUAUUACUGUCUUCAUACGGUAUUUUAUACUCAAGCUUGCCUUUGGUGUUCAACGCAAAAUCUGAAGGUCAAGAUCAAGAUGUUAGCAAUUAGGAAUACACGCGGCGAAAUUUGGGUGACAUCAUAGUUAUAAUGUUUAAUAGUUUGUGUACUUCAAAAUAAGUUUUAUAUGUACACAUGUAAAUUAUGACUUCUUGAUAUAAAUAAAGCUUA